CACCAUCAUCUUCUUUGGUUAGGAAUACUAUUCAACCUGCUUCUGAUCAGCUCCAUGUUCCUCAUGUUGGAGCUGUCAGGAACUUCUUGCCCAACCCUUUUGUGGUUUCGCCCUUUAGUGGGGUCGCAAGAAGCACUGGCCGGCAGAGUCAGUCAGCAGGUCAUCCUGUUCAAUCUAAUAAGGUUUCUGCAGCUAAAGUUACUGAAGGUGAUCAAUUUUCCAAGAAUAUUAGAGUUCAGCAAGCUAAUGAAGGUAAUCUUGGUCAAUCUCAAGCCUCUGCUCCUGUCCAGCCUUCUGCACUUGCUUAUAAAACUGGUCUAGAAAUUCCAGCAGUUAAUAGGCCCCCUCAGUCUUCCAGUGUUCCUUCUGGACCAUCACUUAAGAGGACUGCACUCAUAUGCCCUCCCAGUGCUCCCCAAUUUCGGUGCAAAAAGACCAGAUCAAUUAAACCUGCCAAUCUUCCAGCUGCUCCAACAUUGCUCCAAACUGGUCCACCACAAGCACCUCUAACUUCAGUUGAUUCCUUAAGCUCACCCAUUCACCAGACUGUUCCCAGUCGCCCUCCUCUAGCCCGCACUUCUCCUCGUCUUCCAUCCUUGCCCAGAACUUCUUCAC
rnacentral:misc_RNA from 1 species